rnacentral:rRNA from 1 species
UUAGAGUUUGAUCCUGGCUCAGGACGAACGCUGGCGGCGCGCCUAACACAUGCAAGUCGAACGGAGCUUAGAGAGCUUGCUUUUUAAGCUUAGUGGCGAACGGGUGAGUAACGCGUGAGUAACCUGCCCUAGAGUGGGGGACAACAGUUGGAAACGACUGCUAAUACCGCAUAAGCCCACGGUACCGCAUGGUACUGAGGGAAAAGGAUUUAUUCGCUUUAGGAUGGACUCGCGUCCAAUUAGCUAGUUGGUGAGGUAACGGCCCACCAAGGCGACGAUUGGUAGCCGGACUGAGAGGUUGAACGGCCACAUUGGGACUGAGACACGGCCCAGACUCCUACGGGAGGCAGCAGUGGGGGAUAUUGCACAAUGGGGGAAACCCUGAUGCAGCGACGCCGCGUGGAGGAAGAAGGUUUUCGGAUUGUAAACUCCUGUCGUUAGGGACGAUAAUGACGGUACCUAACAAGAAAGCACCGGCUAACUACGUGCCAGCAGCCGCGGUAAAACGUAGGGUGCAAGCGUUGUCCGGAAUUACUGGGUGUAAAGGGAGCGCAGGCGGGAAGACAAGUUGGAAGUGAAAACCAUGGGCUCAACCCAUGAAUUGCUUUCAAAACUGUUUUUCUUGAGUAGUGCAGAGGUAGAUGGAAUUCCCGGUGUAGCGGUGGAAUGCGUAGAUAUCGGGAGGAACACCAGUGGCGAAGGCGGUCUACUGGGCACCAACUGACGCUGAGGCUCGAAAGCAUGGGUAGCAAACAGGAUUAGAUACCCUGGUAGUCCAUGCCGUAAACGAUGAUUACUAGGUGUUGGGGGGAAUUGACCCCCUCAGUGCCGCAGUUAACACAAUAAGUAAUCCACCUGGGGAGUACGACCGCAAGGUUGAAACUCAAAGGAAUUGACGGGGGCCCGCACAAGCAGUGGAGUAUGUGGUUUAAUUCGAAGCAACGCGAAGAACCUUACCAGGUCUUGACAUCCGAUGCAUAGCACAGAGAUGUGUGAAAUCCUUCGGGACAUCGAGACAGGUGGUGCAUGGUUGUCGUCAGCUCGUGUCGUGAGAUGUUGGGUUAAGUCCCGCAACGAGCGCAACCCUUAUUGCCAGUUACUACGUCAAGAGGACUCUGGCGAGACUGCCGUUGACAAAACGGAGGAAGGUGGGGAUGACGUCAAAUCAUCAUGCCCUUUAUGACCUGGGCUACACACGUACUACAAUGGCGUUAAACAAAGAGAAGCAAGACCGCGAGGUGGAGCAAAACUCAAAAACAACGUCUCAGUUCAGAUUGCAGGCUGCAACUCGCCUGCAUGAAGUCGGAAUUGCUAGUAAUCGCGGAUCAGCAUGCCGCGGUGAACACGUUCCCGGGCCUUGCACUCACCGCCCGUCA